rnacentral:rRNA from 1 species
CCCUUAGAUGUUCUGGGCUGCACACGCGCUACACUGAAGGAGGCAGCGUGUACUCCUGGAUCGAAAGAUUUGGGUAACCCGCGAAUCUCCUUCGUGCUAGGGAUUGAGGUUUGCAAUUAUCCUUCAUGAACGAGGAAUUCCCAGUAAGUGCAAGUCAUAAGCUUGCGCUGACUACGUCCCUGCCCUUUGUACACACCGCCCGUCGCUACUACCGAUUGAAUGAUUUAGUGAGGACUUCGGACUGGGACCGAUGCGGCUUUCGGGCUGCGUCGGUAUUCUGGAAAGAUGUCCAAACUGUAUCAUUUAGAGGAAGUAAAAGUCGUANCA